GCUGGCGGCGCACAUAAGACAUGCAAGUCGAACGGACUUAACUCAUUCUUUUAGAUUGAGAGCGGUUAGUGGCGGACUGGUGAGUAACACGUAAGCAACCUGCCUAUCAGAGGGGAAUAACAGUGAGAAAUCAUUGCUAAUACCGCAUAUGCUCACAGUAUCACAUGAUACAGUGAGGAAAGGAGCAAUCCGCUGAUAGAUGGGCUUGCGCCUGAUUAGUUAGUUGGUGGGGUAACGGCCUACCAAGACGACGAUCAGUAGCCGGACUGAGAGGUUGAACGGCCACAUUGGGACUGAGAUACGGCCCAGACUCCUACGGGAGGCAGCAGUCGGGAAUAUUGCGCAAUGGAGGAAACUCUGACGCAGUGACGCCGCGUAUAGGAAGAAGGUUUUCGGAUUGUAAACUAUUGUCGUUAGGGAAGAUAAAAGACUGUACCUAAGGAGGAAGCCCCGGCUAACUAUGUGCCAGCAGCCGCGGUAAUACAUAGGGGGCAAGCGUUAUCCGGAAUUAUUGGGUGUAAAGGGUGCGUAGACGGAAGAACAAGUUGGUUGUGAAAUCCCUCGGCUCAACUGAGGAACUGCAACCAAAACUAUUCUCCUUGAGUGUCGGAGAGGAAAGUGGAAUUCCUAGUGUAGCGGUGAAAUGCGUAGAUAUUAGGAGGAACACCAGUGGCGAAGGCGACUUUCUGGACGAUAACUGACGUUGAGGCACGAAAGUGUGGGGAGCAAACAGGAUUAGAUACCCUGGUAGUCCACACUGUA
rnacentral:rRNA from 1 species